CUCUCCUUGCCUUUGGGGCCAACAACAGACAGAAUCCUGUCUCUACCAAAGAAUUCCUUGAGGCAGGGGCAGCUGGAAGGUUUUCUUCAGAUCCUUCAAAAGAGCCCGGUCUUCUUGCCUUAGAAGUAAAUCUGAAGUUGGGAUUGCUCUUCUCCAAAUAUCUGAGGCCAGAAAAUAACUGAACCCAGUGUGGAAUAAACUCCAAUGCCGAUCGGUUUUCAAGAAGUUAACCUAAGACAAAAUACUGCUAGAGGGCAGCAAUUUGGAUUCAUUAAAGAGAACCCGUGUAAAUAAUAAAAACAAAACUAAAAUGCAGAAUUAAAUUAAGGGAUAGGAAAUUAAAUUUGUGAAUCUAAUCUGAAAUUGAGGCCUUCGAUGUACAGACUUAUACUGGUUUGGCUCUUUCCUCAGAGUUUAAGCUGAGGAUUUGCGGAAGCUCCAGCAUCCAGGGAAAUGACUGUGCCUGGCAGAGGGGACACCCACUGCUCCUGCUGUCUCCUCAGGUGCCCCAGAGUGAGAAGGCGCCCAUUGUGCAGGGGCCACUGAGGAGGUCUGGCAGCCCACCUGAUGGCCUGGUGGAGAGGGCUGCCCCUCUCUAGGAUUACCCUCCGAUGAUUCAAAAUGAGGCAUCCUGACCACAUCUGGAUGGCUCCUGCCCUAGCCCAGUGUCUGGGUGAGAGAGAAAAGCCUUGCAGCUGUGGUUCUGCCGCCAACCCAAGGGUGCACAGGAAAUGAAGCAGAUGGAGGGCGGUAGGACUGAUCUGCUGAGAGGAAGCAGUCCUGUAGAGCGCUGGACCAAACCAGGACCUACCUUGUAUCCAUGUGUCUAGAGUUCAAGCAUUUAGUCUCCAUACCCAUCCACCCUCAGCCUCCAAAUGGCUCCUGGGCAUUCACAGGCUUCAGUAGCCUGUGUGUAAGGGCCUGGAGCCAACAUAGAUGAAUGUGACCUCUUUCUCUGGACAGAGGAAUGACCCCUCACAGUGACCCUUGAACUCAGAUCUCAAUUUCUCUCACCACUUCUUUGGAAGUUCAGCUCUGGAUAGUGGACUGGCCAGGAGAGGCAACAGUAGGUAUACCUCAGAGUCAAGAAGAUCCAAGUUCAAGUCCCACCUCUAACUCCCCCUGGCUGUUGCAUCCCAAGCAGAUAAGUCAUUUGACAUCCUGGCACCUCAGAGCCUUCUUAAAUGCCUACAGCCCUGGCCCCUACACCUCCAUUCAUCACAAUUACUGCUCCAACUGUCGGAGGCAGGGCAUGAAGCGCCAUUUGCUGACGUCCAAUAUUUUAUCACUAAUAAAGAGAAACAUUCCAAGUAUUUUCACAGUUCUGAUACUUUCCAGCACUGGGCCCAGGAGGAAUGAGAAAGUUGUGAUUUAUGCUAUCUGCUGGCAAUUGUUAAUUAGCCGUUCUGGGCUUGGGACCUUGGGGACUAAGGUUUUUCCUAGCCUGGAGCUCAGACCAAGGUCUGCUGAGACUUAGAAUGUUGUGGAAGUUUGCCUUGAGGGUUUCAUCUGGGCACACCAUAGGCAUUUAAUAAAUGUUGGGUGAGUGAUAGCUGGUGCA
rnacentral:lncRNA from 1 species